GACGAACGCUGGCGGCGUGCUUAACACAUGCAAGUCGAACGGGCCCGCUCUCUUUUUUGGGGGUGGGUUGAGUGGCGAACGGGUGAGUAUCACGUGAGUAACCUGCCCCCUGCUCCUGGAUAACUGCUUGAAAGGGCGGCUAAUACGGGGUGUGCCGGCUGGUCCGCAUGGGCCUGGUCGGGAUAGUUUCAUCUUCGGGUGUUUCGGUGGGGGAUGGGCUCGCGGCCUAUCAGCUUGUUGGUGGGGUGAUGGCCCACCAAGGCGGUGACGGGUAGCCGGCCUGAGAGGGUGGGCGGCCACACUGGGACUGAGACACGGCCCAGACGCCUGCGGGAGGCAGCAGUGGGGGGUAUUGCACAAUGGGCGGAAGCCUGAUGCAGCGACGUCGCGUGAGGGAUGGAGGCCUUCGGGUUGUGAAACUCUUUCUCCGGUGGUGAAGGCCCUGUCCGUUGCGGCGGGGUUGACGGUAGCCGGGGAUGAAGCGCCGGCUAACUACGUG
rnacentral:rRNA from 1 species